CACGUAGGGCGCAAGCGUUGUCCGGAAUUAUUGGGCGUAAAGAGCUCGUAGGCGGUCUGUUGCGUCCGCUGUGAAAACUCGGGGCUUAACCCCGAGCCUGCAGUGGAUACGGGCAGACUAGAGGUAGGUAGGGGAGAAUGGAAUUCCCGGUGUAGCGGUGAAAUGCGCAGAUAUUCGGAGGAACACCAGUGGCGAAGGCGGCUCACUGGUCCAUUACUGACGCUGAGGUGCGAAAGCGUGGGGAGCAAACAGG
rnacentral:rRNA from 1 species